AGGAGCCGUAUGAGGUGAAAACCUCAUGUACGGUUUUGGAACGGAGAUUUUUUGAAUAGAACGAANCUAGAGAUUUCUUGGAAAAAUACCAGCCCCUUUCGGUCCAUAAUGAGAUGGAACUAAUUCUAUUUUUAU
rnacentral:ncRNA from 1 species